CGCCGCCCCGCCCCCUCUGGGUGCUCUGUGUGUUCUACUGCUGGAAUCUUGGAUGGACUUCCCGAGAUCUGGGAAGAUUGGGGACAGUGUGCCAGGCGGAGGGCAGCGGCAUGGAGGCUAGACCAGCAUCGGGAGUCCAAGUACAGCACCAGAUCCCGCCACCCCAGAGUGAAGACACUGCUUCCCUGGACACAGCUGGACAGG